rnacentral:rRNA from 1 species
UGCAGUCGAGCGACAGAUAAGGAGCUUGCUCCUUUGACGUUAGCGGCGGACGGGUGAGUAACACGUGGAUAACCUACCUAUAAGACUGGGAUAACUUCGGGAAACCGGAGCUAAUACCGGAUAACAUAUUGAACCGCAUGGUUCAAUAGUGAAAGGCGGCUUUGCUGUCACUUAUAGAUGGAUCCGCGCCGUAUUAGCUAGUUGGUAAGGUAACGGCUUACCAAGGCAACGAUACGUAGCCGACCUGAGAGGGUGAUCGGCCACACUGGAACUGAGACACGGUCCAGACUCCUACGGGAGGCAGCAGUAGGGAAUCUUCCGCAAUGGGCGAAAGCCUGACGGAGCAACGCCGCGUGAGUGAUGAAGGUCUUCGGAUCGUAAAACUCUGUUAUCAGGGAAGAACAAAUGUGUAAGUAACUGUGCACAUCUUGACGGUACCUGAUCAGAAAGCCACGGCUAACUACGUGCCAGCAGCCGCGGUAAUACGUAGGUGGCAAGCGUUAUCCGGAAUUAUUGGGCGUAAAGCGCGCGUAGGCGGUUUUUUAAGUCUGAUGUGAAAGCCCACGGCUCAACCGUGGAGGGUCAUUGGAAACUGGAAAACUUGAGUGCAGAAGAGGAAAGUGGAAUUCCAUGUGUAGCGGUGAAAUGCGCAGAGAUAUGGAGGAACACCAGUGGCGAAGGCGACUUUCUGGUCUGUAACUGACGCUGAUGUGCGAAAGCGUGGGGAUCAAACAGGAUUAGAUACCCUGGUAGUCCACGCCGUAAACGAUGAGUGCUAAGUGUUAAGGGGGUUUCCGCCCCUUAGUGCUGCAGCUAACGCAUUAAGCACUCCGCCUGGGGGAGUACGACCGCAAGGUUGAAACUCAAAGGAAUUGACGGGGACCCGCACAAGCGGUGGAGCAUGGUGGUUUAAUUCGAAGCAACGCGAAGAACCUUACCAAAUCUUGACAUCCUUUUGACCGCUCUAGAAGAUAGAGUCUUCCCCUUCGGGGGACAAAGUGACAGGUGGGGGCAGGGUUGUCGUCAGCU